AAAAAGUAAUAAAAAAAAAAGAAGAAGAGAAAGUUGAAAACAAAAUCGAAGGAUAAAAUAUUAAUGGUGUUGUAUAAAUUUUAACUUAAAUGAAUCCGGUUAAACCCACCAACAAUGCAGCUUUUCGAAAAGGGGAAGAGAAGAUUGUAGCUGAGAAGGGAGACGAUGAUAACGAUGAUACUUGGUGGUGGAGGGGUUGGGAAUUGCUGAAACAGUACUAUUCAUCCACACAUAUGUAUUUGGUAUAGCUGGUAGAUAGAUUUUUAUGAAUACGAAGAAAGAAAUUCUCUCAAAAGAGAGGGGGAGACAAAGAGAAAGUAGCAGAGCAAAAGGAAAAUAGUUGGAAGGGAGAAGGGCGUGGCAUUCUACAAUCGCUGGAAAUAAAUGGAACGUAUUGCACGCUAGCAACGUAAGCAACUUUGCGAUACUCUACUAUACUAUACUAUACUAUACCAACGCUGCAGCAGCUACUUAUGUCGUGUUAUUUUUACAUUUUCAGAAAGUGUUGGCAAUUUACCGACAAUGACAAAUUUUUAAUACUUUUUAAGUUAAAAAAACUAUUUAAAAAAUAUAUCUAGGAAAACUGUAACGCUAAUCAUACGUUUAAAAAUUGUCCGAUAUUAAUCACUAUAUCGAGAUUAAUAUUUAACUCCAAUAUGACCUGUGUGCGAGAGAAA
rnacentral:lncRNA from 1 species